rnacentral:lncRNA from 1 species
CUUAUUUCACAUUUAUAAAUUAUCAAAUUAAUUGGUAACAACUUAUUUCUCGAUCAUAAAAUCACACUUUUUUAGAUUACAUAUUAUUUAUUGCUCAUAAUUUAUUUGUUUUAUUGGUCACAACUAUACAACAGUUGGUCACAAGAACUUUUUAUCCGACCCAUUCCACCCUACCACCCCCAGUUGCACCACCAAAAAAACCGAUUCAAUAAUUGGUCGCAUUCAUUCAAACUGUUCCCAAAUCUCAAUUGCCAAAAUUCUCAGCAUCACCUUUCUUGUCCACAAUCAUUCAAAUUAUUCCCAGUUUAAAGAAAUACUUGAUCAAAUAUGCAUAUUAUCCAAACAUAAUUUUUCCAUUAUUCUAGUGGUUGGUGUGGAAUGCCCCACUUCAUCCAUCAUAUCUGUUUCACUGUGGAACAAAAUUUUCCAUUAGUCUAUUCCAAUUCACUAAACUAUCUCCAAACACAAUGCUUUGAUGUAAUCGUCCUAUAUCUCCUGUGGCCCACAACCAAACACCUGAACGGCACAUUUGAGAGAUUAUUCUAGGGUUUUCUUUGUUAUGUGUCUUCUCUCUAAAAACUGUUCCUCUUCUUCUUCGGCUGUUAUCUCUCUCUCUCUUUUCUUGGUCAGAUAUUGUAAAUAAACUGAGACGCUAUUUUAGCGAGCAGUAACUACUGAUUACUUGGU